UAAAUGCGAUACGUAAUGUGAAUUGCAGAAUUCCGUGAAUCAUCGAAUCUUUGAACGCACAUUGCAUCGACCAGGAAUGGCGAUAUGUUUGUUGACAGUAAGGAUUGAAUAUAGUAUGGAAAACUGUGGUUUUCUGUGCUAUUCCUUGAAAGAGGGUUUUGAGUGUUGUUUUACCGACAAGGUAAAUCACUUGUAAUGUAUAAUUGAGCGGUCAUCAACCGGGGUUGUAUGAUAUUUGCAUCGACAAAGUAAAACUUGUUUUAGCUCAUAUCAUCGCUCAAUUGCGCAGCACAAUACUAGGAAAUAUUGAUUGUUUUACAACAAUCAAUCCUACUAGUAAUCUCUUCCUUAUGAAACAAACAAGACUACCCGCUGAACUUAA
rnacentral:misc_RNA from 1 species